rnacentral:lncRNA from 1 species
CUCCGUGAGGACUUCCUUGCUCUCCUCUGAGCAGUGGAAGGUUUUUAAUCACUCCUUGUGUAGCAGGCACUCCAGCCUGCUACCUGACAGCCAUCUAACUCCCUCCUCUCUGCUGGUAGAACAAGUUCACUCUUUCCUCAUGUGAUGAAGGAGGAGAGCUUGCUGAUGCUCUGAGGAUAGCAGAGUAGGUGGAAAGAGCUUGAUGGUGUUGAGCUGCUGAAUUACCAAACUGGAAGCAGACUACAUGUGGACUUCUUUUUAUAUGAGAUGCCACCGUAAGUCAUCAACGGAGCAUGUUUUCCUUCUGGUACUGAUUGCUCAGAAGCUCAGAGGUAAGUCUGUGGGAACUGCCAGCAAAUGAAUAGCCUCUCUCCCAUGAACUGGGGACUUAUUUUAUCUCUGACUUCACCCCACUUUUCCUUCCCCACAGAUUUCCUCCCUUACUUAUUUUUCUUAAUUGCAUUAUUUUACACCUAUGUUUAAAGGCCAUCUCAAAAAUCUUUGAAGACAGCUACAUACAUCAGAUCAACAGUAAUUAACAUAAGAGGAAACAAACCAGAUGGUGAGUGGAGGAAAGUUUUACAAAUGCUGCCAUGCAGUGGCAGCCACAGGGUGAUGGCCUUGAACCAGGAAUAGCCCUGGGCCAACCCAUCAAGUCAGCAAAUAUCUCAUUCUCCCCACCCUGGAUCCUGUGUUCCUGCUCACCUUCCCUACGCUCCAUUCUCCAUGGGCAGCCAUUCCCCCUGGGCCAUUUCUGAGCAUCCACACCUACUCUCUCUUUAGUACUACUGGUUGCUCUCCCUCCCUCAACUCUUCCCACCAAAUCAAAAUGCCUUCCUCCUCUCUCUAGAACCUUGGGCUUGACUGUAUGUUGUCAACAGUUGAUAAUAGCAUAGUGUCUUUUCUCUUUCAAGGACAGGUACAUUUUAACCAGGCAUUUUGAAGAGGAAAAAAAAGCCCAUAGAAGUAAUUCACUAAUGGUGGAAUAUACUACAAAAGUAGUACAAAAGCAAUUGAAAAGGAGAUUUUUUCUUGUAAAUCUCAAGUAAUUCUAUGUAAGGUAGCACAGUACGUGGCACACAGUGCUCAAUACACAGUAGCUACUCAUUAUUACUAUUGUUGCUGUUAUUGUUAAUCCCACCACUACCAUUUGAUCACUCACUGUCUAUUCCUUUUACCUCUACCACGCAGGCUACUGCCCUUUUCGGAACACUGGCCGACUGGAGAUCCACAAUCAAUUAAUCCAUUUUAAUCAUAUUUAUGAUUUAUAAUGUAUUUUUACACACAUUAGCCUUUUUUGAUCUUCCUAGCAAUUGUCUAGUUAAACAUUCUUCUCAUUUUAUAGAUGGGCAAACUGAGGCUCAGGAAGACUGAGUUAGUAAGGUUCCAGAGCCAGGCUCAAACUCAGGUUUUGUAUAAAUUUCUUGUUCUUCCCAUAACAAGUGGUUGCCAACUAGAGUGCAAUCACAUCAGAAUCAUCAGAAUUUUGAAUGUCAUGAAGAUAUUGUAAAAGCAAAAAAAUAAAGAAUCAUUUGGGGUGCUUUAAGGUUCCUGGGGUCUACCCCAGACCUAAUGAAUAUAGAUGGCCCAGUGGAAGGGACUGUAUGAGUUUGUAUUUCAACAGGUGCCUUGUGUGAUUCUGAUGAGCUGCUGGUGGAUGGACAAGUCCAAUGCCCAUGCUUCUUCUUGGUUGAUUAAGUACCUGCUGUACCCUCAGCCCUGUGCUAAGUACUACAAGGCAGGCAUAUAUCGCCUUUAGCUCUCAAAGAGCUAAGUGAAUAAGAAGCUGGGAAGUGAGUAGGAGCUAGGAGGUAAGACUAAACAAGUGAAAAAGAGUGAGCCAAAGAAGGCACUGUUUGGCUUUGAAGGAAGUCAGAGCAGGCAAGAUCACAGAUGGCAGGAAUAGAAAGGAAGGCCAUGUCAUGGAGAAGGGAAAAUUCCAGUAGGUCUUGCAAAAUGGGAAGGAUUUCCAGGUAGAGAAGGGGUAAGUGGAAUGAAAUAUCUUCAAGAGAGAUACUGAACAGAUUGUCUGGCAAGAAUAAAGGGAAUAGCAGGACUUGAACAAGAGAGAAUGGGGCCAGAAAAUGAGUGGAGAAGCUAGAGAAGAGCCUAGGCUGGUGUAGGGGAUGGCAGGUAGGGAGGGAGGUGGUUUUUGAGGAGUAACGUCCUGAAAGAUAAACUGAAGAAUGACUAGUGUAGUGGUGCUGUGUAGAAUGGAGGGAGGGCUGGAGGGUAGAAAACCUGGUAUUUGCAAGACUGCCUAGGAACUUGUUGAACUGACUGAGAUGCCAGACGGCUAGAAGUAAGACUAAGAUUUGACAGUGCUGGCAGUCAGAAUGGGGUGAAGGAAUGGGACUAUAAGAUGGGAAUCUAAGUCCUCUCACACUCCAUGCUCUUCUCAUUCACCACAGCUGUUUCCAUGUGCCCCAUAAACACUAUAGCAGAUUGCCAAAAAUGGCUACAUUUCUUCCCCUCCCUGUAUCCAUGCUCCUUGAAAUGGGACCCUGUAGCUCCUCUGUCAUAUAUUUCUUGAAUCCAGGCUAACCAUAUAGCUUGCUUUAACAAUCAGAAUGUACUGGAAACAAUGUUGUGUGAAUUCUGAGUCUCAGUGUCAAGAUGCUUCUGCUCUCUCCUGGAACCCUGCCCAAUCACCAUAUGAACAAACUUGGGGUAACUUGCAGGAUGAUGAGAUACAUGGCUUAGUCAUCAUUAUCUCUCCACCUGACAGCCAGUGACCCCCAGAAACAAAGCCUAGCUGACAUGGAACUGCAGCUACCUGUAGAUACAUGAAUAGUCCCAGGUGAAAGGAGAAGGAUCACGUAGCUGAGCCUAGCCCAAAUCACCAACCCACAGAAUGGCAAGAUAAAUAAAGGAUUGUUAUUUUGAGCCAGUAAAUUUUGACUCAAAAUGCUGGCAGUAAAUUUUGGGGUGGUUUGUUAUGCAGCAUAAUAUAACUGAUACACACUGCAAAUAACUGUAUAGCCACAAUAUUAGGGAGUGAUGCUAUAUGAAGCCCCGGAAGCUUUCUCACUUUUAAAAAGUACAUUAUUUUCCUAGCUCUUAAGGAAGUUUUCUACCAUGGCAGAACUAUUACCUCACAAUAAUCACAUUUAGGUGAGAUGAGAGAUGAGAGAAAAAAAAUAGAGCAAUAAUAAAGAGUAGAGCCCCAGUAUGUUUUAUGUUGUAGCUGUGAGACAAUUUUCAUUACAACACACUACAAGAAACUGUCUGAAUUCCCUGGCUGAAAUAACACUCUGUUGUUUUGGAUACUCCCAUCAACAGGGGCCUGGAAAUAGUUUCAUUACCCAAAAAAGUUUUUAUUUUAGUAGUAUUUGGCAUGUAAUCAUGGAUCUUUAUCCUGCCCAUGGUCUUACAAAGGAACAUGGGUUGCUCUGUUUUUUUAAGGCAUGGAAACAUCAUAAAUUAUAGAGAUUAAAGAAAAGUACAAAUAAAUAGACAUCUCAUCAUAGCACUGGUAGGGAAGCAUCUAACUUAGAAGUGUGAAUAUCAUCUCAAAAAUAAAGUCAAACAGUCACUUUGUUUAAGAAAUGAAGAACUUACCAGUAAGACUUUGUGUGGUCCAAUGUUUUCAGGUUUUAAGUGGAAUGAAUCUGAAAUAGAAUUAAAUAAACAUUCCAUAAGUAAAUCACAUUUGGAAAGGGUGUGCUUUCGAUCCCAAGUGACUGCCAUAACGUUGAGCAUUUAUUCAUGUAUUUAAAGAUGAAAAAAGCUUUUUCUGGCUCCUGAUGGAAGAGGGAACAUUUUUUGCCAACACAGUUUAACUUCCUGAAUAGAGAGAGCAUGCUCUCAUCUACUUUGGGGAGUGUUCAAAGUCUGAGGCCAGCGUAACUAUAAAUGGUAGUGUUUUUUCCAAACCUCUCCAAGUCAGGGGAAGCCUCUCUAGCCGUUGCCCUUGCCUUGGUCUCAAUCUCUUUAUGCUAGGGCCCAGCCAUGGCCCUCUCUAAGACACCACCUAAAAUACUGGUGGUCCAACAUAACUUGAAGGGCAGAGGAGGAGUGUAUAAGACUUUCUAACAGUGGCUUUCUGAUCAUAUACAUAAACACAGAUUUUUGUCUUAAUUGAUAAUGAUGAGCCUAAGGUAGUGUUGUUCAAUAGAAAUAUAACCCAAGCCACAUACUAUUAAAACAUAAUAUUGAAUAUAUUUAAUAAUAGAUUAACAAUAUAUAAUUAUGUAUAUUAUAUAUUAAUUAUAACUAUACAUAAUUAUAAUAAAAUACAUUUAAUCAUAAUGUUAAAUGUUCUAGUAGC